UGACAGAUGACAGUCUAGAAAUGGACUGAAAAUGGGCUUUUUCCUGCUAUCUCCGACACCACCCUCACUGGACUGUCAAUCAAACCUCAUCAUGUGCCACCCUUCCAAAUAUAACGCGUUCCCAGAUGCAUCAUCUCCUGAACAGGAAGGUCUGGACUGGGGUGGAUAUGUUGAGCAGCCGUGGGAGCGGAGGCCAUAUCAAGAAGGCGCCCAGACACAGUAAUGAGGGACUUUGAAACAGGCUGGCUUGAUCUGCUCAUUCUGUUCAGUGUCCUCACCAGGGGCAUCACAGUCAAAAGGUUCUCUGUUCCUGAGGAACACUUCCUGUUUCUGCACUGCGACAGCAAUGCAGACGACCCGAAUAUUGAGUGGACAAAUGGGAAAGGGGAAAUCAUUGCCCUGCAAAAUGGAGCUGCAGUGUCUUACCUCAACCAGAAUAAGUAUCACAUAUCCGACGGAUACCUACAGAUUAAGGAGCUGGAGCUCUCUGAUGCUGGACAGUAUUUCUGUAAUGGUCACCUGGAGGCCGAAGUGGAGGUGCUGAGAGGUCAAGUCUUUUCCAUAUCAGAAGGAAGGACCCUGUUGAUCCCUUGUGAAAGUGACCGAAAGCAGGUUUGGUCCUUCAAGAAAGAGAAGAGCUUGCGGCGGGUGACCAUCUUCACCUUAUUCAAGAAUGGAACAAUAAUCAGAGAGAGGGACGACCCGCAGGGACGGUUUGUCCUCCAUCGCCGGGCUCUUGAGAUAGUCCGUCUGGAGCUAGAGGAUUCUGGGAGGUACAUGUGCAACAGCAACCUGGUUGCCAAGGUCACCGUGAUAAAGGCUCAUCAGGAUCAGUUUAACCAAACCACAUCAGUAGUAAUGGAUACAAUUGUUACAGAUUCACCAGAAAUACCUGUAACAAGUCCUAUAUUUCAGAAAGUGGCUGUCGUUGCAGUUAUCGGACUAUGCGUGCUAGUGUCAUCCGUUCUUCUGGUGUCCCUCAUUUUGUGCCAGAGAAAGAGGACGAGGAGAAGAAAGAACAAAAAGAACGGCAGAUUAACAGGGACAGGACAUCAGCAUGAAGAAACUGAGCUGCAACUUCAGGGGCUGUCCACUAGGGGUUCACCAAAGACACACAGAGACGUAGGCCAGAGUCUGCCAGCGGAUGGAAGGGAGCUCCACUAUGCAUCACUGGGUCGGCAGAACUGGCUGGAAAGAGGACGAAUGCAAGACAACGAUCCCCAGGUCAUCUAUUCUACUGUUGCCGUGGCAAUGAAUCCAACUUCCGAAUAGAUUCUGUGUUCAAGUUUUGUUUACUUCCUGUGUGCCCUGCUGACACACACACACACACACACAAACACACAGACACACACACACACACACACACACACACACAAACACACACACAAGCAAAAGAUGAGUUGUGUGGGAGGUGAGAACUACAGGUAUGAUUUGUGAUACAAAAGAGUCAUGUACAGAUUUCCAUGAUAAGAUGUGAGCAUGACGUAUAAUAAAAAAAAUGACAAAAAUGCCUGUACA
rnacentral:lncRNA from 1 species